GACGAACGCUGGCGGCGUGCCUAAUACAUGCAAGUAGAACGCUGAAGGAGGAGCUUGCUUCUCUGGAUGAGUUGCGAACGGGUGAGUAACGCGUAGGUAACCUGCCUGGUAGCGGGGGAUAACUAUUGGAAACGAUAGCUAAUACCGCAUAAGAGUAGAUGUUGCAUGACAUUUGCUUAAAAGUUGCAAUUGCAUCACUACCAGAUGGACCUGCGUUGUAUUAGCUAGUUGGUGAGGUAACGGCUCACCAAGGCGACGAUACAUAGCCGACCUGAGAGGGUGAUCGGCCACACUGGGACUGAGACACGGCCCAGACUCCUACGGGAGGCAGCAGUAGGGAAUCUUCGGCAAUGGACGGAAGUCUGACCGAGCAACGCCGCGUGAGUGAAGAAGGUUUUCGGAUCGUAAAGCUCUGUUGUAAGAGAAGAACGAGGGUGAGAGUGGAAAGUUCACACUGUGACGGUAUCUUACCAGAAAGGGACGGCUAACUACGUG
rnacentral:rRNA from 1 species